AAACCAGACUCCUACGGGAGGCAGCAGUGAGGAAUAUUGGUCAAUGGCCGAGAGGCUGAACCAGCCAAGUCGCGUGAGGGAAGACGGUCCUAUGGAUUGUAAACCUCUUUUGUCGGGGAGCAAAAGACGCCACGCGUGGCGUUCCGAGAGUACCCGAAGAAAAAGCAUCGGCUAACUCCGUGCCAGCAGCCGCGGUAAUACGGAGGAUGCGAGCGUUAUCCGGAUUUAUUGGGUUUAAAGGGUGCGCAGGCGGAGGCGAAGCUCGGGGGUAAAUUUGGGGGCCUCACCCUCUGCCCGCCGUUGAAACUGCGUUUCUUGAGUGGGCGAGAAGUACGCGGAAUGCGUGGUGUAGCGGUGAAAUGCAUAGAUAUCACGCAGAACUCCGAUUGCGAAGGCAGCGUACCGGCGCCCAACUGACGCUCAUGCACGAAAGCGUGGGUAUCGAACAGGAUUAGAUACCCGAGUA
rnacentral:rRNA from 1 species